ensembl:lncRNA
CAAGCUCCGCCCCUCGCGCUCACCGGUCACAGCCUCUCACGCGACCGGUGGGGUACUUCACAGGCGCGAUACCUCACAGGUUAGAGGCGGGAAGCCGGUGGCUCCGGGCAACGGCGAUAACCCGGCACAGAGGCAAAGUGGCCUUUCGGAGCGUCCGCACGUAACGCGGCUCCUCACACACGGAGCCGGGAGGCCGUGGGAGAGGGGAGGCCGUGCGCGCGAGCGAAGCGGCGGCAGGGCCCCGUCAGCCUCAGGAAGGGACUCGGAGACGCCCCGAGCGAGCGGAACCUCUUUCCCAGACUUGAGAGUCGCCCCUCCCCCUCCGGGGACCGUUACCCGUCACCGCCCGGAGGAGCGAGCGGCUCUGUGACUGUCGCUAGAGCGGCCCUGGGCGGCGUUUGGCUAGGGCACGCUGGCUUGUAGCCUUGGAAGGUUCUCUGCUCACUUCUUUCCCAGCGUUGCGGUUGGAUCAUUAUAACUGAGGGAUCCGCUGUAGUCUCACUCUCUCCAGUACUCAAUACGUGACCACUAAUCCUUAGAGGAUGUGCUGCGGGAUGCCUGCCAGGCAAGCAUACUAAAGGAUAUCAUUCCUUUGGUAUCCAGUAAAACAAGCACCUGUCAUGCACAUUGACCUGUCAAGCCCAGCUGCAGUGACCCUUAUGUCGAAGUCCUGGACAUCUACCAGAUCUGACAGAUUCCCAUAGAAGAAGUGUGGCUUCAAGGGACUAUUUGAACAGAGAUUCCCCAAUGCUUUGGUCUUCAUCCAUGGUAAUCAUCAACAGAGGCUUGCAGGAAAGCUCUCUGUGCAUUGCACACAUCUUUGAGGUGUUAACCAAGUGGCCUGGGGCUCAACCCCUUAUCUAUGAGCUGAUGACAGAAAGAAAGAAUCAGAGAAGAAACGAGUGUGGUUAUCAGGGUCUUGGAACCCCUGCAGGGACAACCCCUUGGAAGUACCCCAAAUCCUGAGCAGAGUACUCACGACUACCCUCCAGGAGCAAAUGGCCUGAUCUGCAAUGCUAGACCCCCAACAAACCGGGGGUGUCUUGCAUUUUUUCAAAGGAACUAAAAUGGCUGUCUGCGCUGGAAGAGCUGAGGAGAAGGAUGUUCCCCAGAGCCCCAGUGGACUCAGUCAGAAAUGUCACCAGACAUUGGCAGUCAACACCUGAGGUCUCUGUGCUGCCACCCUAACCUGCACCUGGAGCUGCUGGUUACCCUGAAAGACAAAUGACAUGCAGGCCAUCAACCCUGACUGCUGUGCAUGAUUGUGUGUGUACUGUCUAGCCAGGCCUGCACCCAUGGCCCACACCACGUCCACCAGGUCUGGAAUUUAGGUGUGGAGGAGACAGUUAUUGAAAGGUAGCUUGCUUCUGCCUGUGGUGAUCAUGGCUGGGACAUUGAUUCCAGAUCAAUGUAGGGAGAACAAGGGUGGCCAUGCCAAAGCUGGGCAGGGACAUUAAAUUAAGAUACAUGCUGGGUAUCAGUAGCUAGGUGUGUGGCAAAGGGCUUGCAAGUUAAUUACUAUGACAGUCAAGUGAUUUCUAAGUCCUGCCCAAUUCUUGACCAUAUGUCCCUAACUCAGUCAUAGCUGAGGGACUUGUUAUAGGUGACUUUCUGGGAGCUACUCCCAGGCCAGCUCAUGUCCUUCCCAUGGUUUGCUGUGCUCUCUAAUGUGGGUCAGCAAGGAAGUGAGCCAUGGGUUCCCUGGUAUUUGGAGGGCAUUUGGGUUCAGCAGUUCUGGCUACAGUGCCAGGAUUUCUAGCUGCCUGAGCUUGGCAAGUUCCUUCGCCUAGGAAGCACAGGCCUUCAGCCCUUUUCUCUGCACGAUACCUGAUUUCCAAGACCUAUUUUUUUUCCAACAGGAGAUGGAAUCUGUAAAAUGCUUGGUGCAAACUGCACCACGGUGGUCUGAUCUCCUUCUCUCACUCCCCUCCCUCUGGAGGGCUUGGGUCUGGCUCUCUCUUGCUCCUUCAUGGCUCUCUGGUAUCUUCUCCCACAGUUGUAGUUAAAGUAGUCUGGAGUAGAAAUGGGAGAUCCAACCUGGGGGUGUUUGUGUGUGCCUGACUCUCACAGAGCUGUUCUGGGAAUGCAGAAAUGAGCAGGGUAGCAUAGAGGUGACGUUUCAGAUUGUAGGUGAGGAGCAAGGGCUCCGGAGUCAGACCACACUAUAACUCAGUGUGCAGUCUUAGGGCAAGUCACUUAUUUGCACUGUACCUCAGUUUCCCCUGUCUGUAAAAUAGGUAUAAAGUUAAUCAACCUCAUGGAUGAACAAUGCAUUCCAGUGCUGAGCACAUCCACCAGUUUCAAUAAAUAUGUUCUGGCACUAACUCUGACUCCAGCUGAGGAGUCAGGCUAGGGAGCUGUGCACUAGGGUUGGGUGGUCCACACAACAAUUGACUUUUCUCCCACAGAUGGGGGAGGUCAGAGGGUGGAACACAGAAUAGGUAGCCCGUGAGUGAUGGGAACUAUUUAUUGAAGUUAUUUCUUUACUUUUUGGCACUGGAGGUGGUUCCCAGGACUUGGCACAGGCUGGGCAAGUGUUCCCCCCAUGAACAACAGUCCCAGUAGUUUUUAGAUGAGUAGAAGGGAGAAGUCUGACUUAUCCUAGUUGGGGAAGACAAGCAAGCCUCCCCAGUCCCUUUAAUCCAUAUUCUUGACCACCCCACCUCUCGCCCCCAUCCUCUGCAUCAGAAGGAAGGUAAUGAACUCCAGCUGAGUCUCAUGCUGGUUAUGACUGUAGUAUGUAUAGAGAACUGCUCCCAAGGAGAGGAGAGAAAACCAAGGUGCCUGCACUAAGUCUCUGAGCCAGUGGCAUGGGCUUGCCUGUGAAGAGAUGAGUCUGUGUUUGCUGUCCCCAAACAGCCCCAGCUUUCUUCUCCCUACCCUACCCUUCCUAUCCUGAUUGGGUGGGGGACCAGGAAGUAUUGUGGCCUGCCAAUCCUGGGCACCUCAUACAGACAGGCUACUAGAGGGUAGCUUGGAGGCAGCUUCUUGGCUGUGGGAAAAUGGCAGGCACAACCCUUUCAUAUCAGCACAAGAGGUAGGCUGAUAAUGAUGUUGGGUCCUAGUGUUGGCCACAAGCUUCCCCUCUGUCACCUGACCUCAGUAGCCUCACAGAGCUUUGCUUAUGAAGAGGCCUGCAAAGAGUCACCAUAGAAGAAAGCAGCUUUAGCUGCUGCUCUGCUGGUGUAGUGCUACCUGGGCCAGUGGGAUGGGGAGCUGUUUCUGCCGUCCCACCUGCUUCUUCCCACACGCCUGACUCUAGCCUUCCUGACUAACCUUCUGCACCUGACAUUAGCACUCAUGGUUCCAUUAUUAGUAAUGUCCUUUCUGUUUCCACUGGCCACCUAUGGCUAAUUUUCCAAGACACCAUUAGUGGUUACCUCCUCCUGUGCCAUGGUUUGGUCAUGCCUGCCUUUGAACCCACACCACGAGAGCUCACAUUACAUAGACCUGACUAGGGCAUCGCCAUGGUCUUGACAGUGUCACGGAUGGGGGUCUCACUUUCUUGCCAGUGCUGAUCUCAGACUUCUGGGCUCCUGUGAACCUGCCUCAGCUUUCAAGAAAUUAAGACUCUGGCAAAGCUGGUAGUCCUUUUUAAAGAUGAAGAAAGUGAGGCCCGGAGAGCUCAGCUAAAUUGCUUUGAUAAUGCUUUUUUUUUUUUUUUUACUUACUUUGUGUAUAUUUAACUUCUGAGGUGUGUCAGAUACUAACACAAUGAGUAAGAUGGACAAUAAUCCCUGGAGUUUCCAUUGGACUGUGGAAGGAGGAGGAGGUGACCUGUCUGUCAGUUGUGAGGAGUGGGAUAGAGAUGGAAGACAGCGUUGCUCUGGGGGAUGCUGCGGAGGCCCAGCCUUGGUGCCAGUUAACGAUCAGGUAGAAUCAUGGUGGAAGGGUGAGGGGACAGCACUUCAUGUUGGGAACUGUGGGUCUUAGAGGCAAGAAGUGGAUAGAGACGUCCUGAGUGAAAGAGGAUGAUAGCUCCCAAAGAAGCUUUGCAGUUUGCUUUUCAUUGACUUGCUAAGAAUGGGGAGUGGCCUUCCUACACAGCUGGAGCCCAGCUGUGUAGAACUGACCAAGCCCCACCCCUCCCCCCACCCCAAGGACGUCUGCUGUAACAUCACAUUUUUGCUAUGUGAGCCCAUGUCAUCUCACCAGUUUUCAGUAAAGUCGUCCACAAACACAAAGGCCUGUGUGCAUAUGUCUUUUACAGGGAUGACAGAGCUCUACACUUGUCAACAGAUCACAGACACCAGCAGCUGGCAUGUGUUAUGUGUUGGAGCAGGUACACAAAGGAACGAGUGCACACCAGGGAGGCACACACUAGAAGGGGCACAUGAAUAAGGCCCACUGAACUGUGGGAACAGCAACAGGCCAGCACCAGAAGUCCUAUGCGGACACGUUACAGUGUUACUGAUUGGGGUACAGUAUAUGGC